UAAACAGACACAUACAGACACAAGGAAAACAGAGUAUGUAGCUUCAGUAACAGUUUAAGAGAAAAGUCAGAAACAGAAAUUUUCCCUGGUCAAAAUAUCAAAAAAAGCAUCUGGGGCUUAUAUCCUUUAAUUGAUUUGAGCUCUAAAUGGACAAAUACACAAUUUUUUUUUUUAAUUGCUAAGAACAAGAUUCUUUUUCACGUUGAAUAAUGAUUUUGAAGUUUAAAUAAAUACCAACAAUAGAGCUAUGAGGGAGGAAAAAUAUAAAAUACUGAUUUUUUUUUUUAAUCUCACCGUAAGGUGCAUUCUUAAAUACAUAGGAGAGAACUGUCAUGAUUUGCGCAACUCGCUUGCAAAUAGUUCAACAGUAUUAACAAUGAUUGAAUUUAGAUGGUGGGCAUAUGGGAAUUUAUCAUCCUAUUAAACAGUUUUCUGUACUUCUGAGACUUAGAAUAAAACAUUGGAAGGAACCUGUUAGACAUAAUGCUCUAUGUGAAGUAAUUUGUUCCCUUUGUGAAAUUCUAGGAAGGUUAAAAUGCAUGUUCAUAACAUCAAGAAAAUCACAAGCAUUUACGAUGUAAUCAGAACUACCUGAGGAUCUGUGAAACUUGGUGUGUUAUUCUGGGAGAUCAUCAGGACUUCUGGGUAUUUGGAGGUACUGACCUAACCAGUGGAACUGCUGAUUUAUAAGAAGUUGUCCAGAAUUUUGGAAAACUGAUUAGUAGAGGCUGGAGACCGAGAAGAACUACCAUUUUUGCCAGCUGGGAUGCAGAAAAAUUUGGACUUCUGGGUUCCAUAAAUGGGCUGAGCUCUGUCAUAAUGGAAACUCUGCAGCAGAAUCAGCUGUCAUCUAUCCCGUGUGGCCAAGUGCAGAGGAGAAUGUGAAAACACUCCAGGAGAGAGAGGUUGCAUAUAUCAAUGCAGACUCAUACACAGAAGGCAAUUAUACUCUCAGAGUUGACUGUACACCCCUUCUUUUCCAGUUGGUAUAUAAACUGACAAAAGAUGUAUUGGAGGAAUCAGACAUCAUUCAUCUGGAGAAAUGCUGUUGGUUGCUGAGGGCUCAAUCCCGAACUGGAUGAUUUGACUUAGAGACAUUUGGCCCAUUGGCUUCACCACCAAUUUGUCCAUCUCUGAGUGAAGGUUUAUUUAAUGCUUUUGGUGAAAAUCAUGACAGCCACAUAGAUUUUAAGGAGAUAUCCUGUGGGUUAUCAGCUUGUUGCAGAGGACCUCUGGCUGAAAGACAGAAAUUUUGCUUCAAGGUAUUUGAUGUUGACGGUGAUGGAGUUCUCUCUAGGGUUGAACUGAGAGACACGUGGUUGCACAUUUAGAGGUCUGGAAGGACAACUGCACCGAUGAUACCCUGGAAUUACAUGUGGAUGUAUCCAACAUUGUAGAAGACACAUAGAAUGCACGACACCACAAAGAAUGGCCAUCUUAACUCUAGAGGAAUAUCAUAUCUGGAGUGUGAAAAAUGUUCUUGCCAAUGAGUUUUUGAAUCUACUUUUCCAGAACUUGACAAGCUGAUUCUAAAUACAUAGAGAAGCGUGAAGGGCCAACAAUAGCCAAGAUGAUAUUAAAGAACAAUGUUAAAGGACUUAUAAAACAAUAUUAAGUCUAUGUGAUAACUACCUAAAGUUAGACAUAUAGACAAAUGGAACAGCAUUGAAUUAAACCCUGUACCAUACAUGAACAGUAACUUUAGAUAGAUUAUAAAUCUAAUAUAUUUGAAACAUAAAGCAAAGCAUCUGGGGGAGGGUAAAGCUCAGGUGGAAUGUGUGCUUAACAUGCAUAAGGUCUUGGGUUCAACUCCCAGUACCUCCAUUAAAAUAAAUAACCUAAUCCCCCACCAAAAUAAAGCAUCUAGAAAAUAGUGUAGGAGAUAUUUUAAUGACUUUGAAGUGGCAAAGUGUUCUUAAACCGGACAAAGCAUGAAACAUAAAAGAAGAGUUUUAAGUUGGACUUCAGUAAAAUUAAGAAUUAUUUUUAUCAAGAGAUACCAUUAAGAAAGUGAAAAGCUAAGCCACACGGUGGGAAAAUAUAUUUGCUAUACCUAUAUCCAACAAAAGACUUGUAUCUAGGGCAUAUAAAGAACAAAAACCAGUGGAGAAAAAGGCAGAACCUCAAUAUUAAAAUAUGCAAAAUAAUUGAAAAGGUGCUUCACACACACACAAAAAAAUCCACAUAAGCUAUGAAAAGGGGCUGACCUCUUUAGUAAUAAUGGAAAUACGUACUAAAACCACACUUGGAACACCAUUAGACAUCCAGUAGAAUAGUUAGUUGUUAAGUGAUAUGAAGCAUUGGUGAGGGCAACAAGCAAUGGGGACUCUUACACAUGGCCAGUGGGAAUAUAAAUUCUUACAAAUACUUUGGAAAUAGGCUUUUUGAAUGAAAGUUAUAUGUGUGUGUGUGUGUGUGUGUAUAUGUACACACAUACACAUACACACACACCCACACCCUAUUACCAAGGGUAACCCAUAUGUGUACCCUUCAGAAACUUCUACAUCUGAGCACCAAAGGACAUCCAGAAAAUUCCCAUAAUCACUAUUUGUUAUACCCCCAAAUAGAAAAUGACCCAAACACUUGUCAACAAUAAAUACAUAACCAUAAGUGGUGGCACAUGCAUACAAGUUGUAUACUUUAAAGCAAUAAAAAAUAUACUAGUUUACAGAAAACACUAGUGGAUGAAUCUUACAUAAUGUUGAGUGGAAAGUACGGGACCAAAAAUUUCAAAAGCAAAAAAACCAAUCCAUGGUGGCUGAAUUUAGGAUGGUGAAUCCAUCAAAGGGGUGCCGUAGUAACUGGGAAGAAACCCAAAUUGGAACAGCAAUGUCCUGUUUCUUGACUGGAUGAAGGUUACAUAGAUGUGUUUACUUUGUGAAAAAUCAUUGAGCUGUAUACUUAAGAUGUGUUCACAUUUAAGCAUGUAUAUUAUAUUUGCAUUUUUUUAAAAAAAGUUUGCUUGCAAAAAAAGAUAUCCAAAGCCCAAGUAUUUAUCAGUAGGAGAAUGGAUAAAACAAAUGAUAGUAUAUUCAAACAAUGGAAUACUACUCAACAAUAAAAAAGAAUCAACUACUGAUACAAGGAUGAACCUCAAAAGCCUAAUUUAUACAUUUCAUUGUCAGGUAAAUUUUAACUCAGAAGGUAAACAAAACUGUAAACAGUCAUGUGCCCUGGGGGGAGGGGUGCUGUAGCCUUUGUCUCCUCAGACCUGUGCCAUUACUGGCACAUCUCGCAAGAAGAGAGGCAGGGCUCAGCCACAGCUACCAUCUCCUCCUGUGCAUAGUGCCUGGGCGGGGGUGGGGCUGAGGCCUGAAUCUGCACGUGGGGGCUCCACAACCUCCUAGGCAGGACUGAGACUUGUUUAUAGCCCGAGGCAGAGAGGAUCUUUCUACCCUGACACCUCAGAGAACUUGUGCUGCCAAGAGAAACAAGGAGCUAAGAUUUGGCACAGAGCAUAGGUGGGGCUGUUCCGCAGUCUUCCCCGAGCCCACCUACAGACCGCCUACCCAAGGCAGAGCAGGCAGCUGCACAGAGCAGCAGAGUGACCAGCACGAGGAGAGGGCAGGUGGGCAGCCACCCACCUUCCUGGCAGGAACACAGCACCUGACCACGGUGCUGGGACUGGGUGUGAUCUGCCCACCUGCCUCCCCCUGAUCACAGCAUCUGACUGUGGCAUCAGGAGGGGGAGUGACCUGCCCGCCCACCGGGUAAGAGCUCAGCUCCUGACCUUGUGUUAGGAGGGGACACAAUCUGCUAGCCAAUAGCCACUGAGAGCAGCACAGAUGAGGGCGCCAACAGAAGGCCUAUGAAACAGCAAGCUGAGUUCGCGAAGCAGGGUGAAGAUACAAAGACUUGUCGAUUAAAUCAUUAAGGGCACACCAUCUCCAGGUUAAGUAGGUAACUGAUACUCCUUAAGCCACGGUGCCAGAGAGAUAUGAGCAAUGUGAAGAAGCAGAGAAACCACUCCCAAUUAAAGAUCAUGAGAAAUCCCCUGAAAGCAUGAUCAAGGAAAUAGACAUUGAUGGCCUACUAGAUCAAGGUUUCAAAAAAAGAGUGAUCAAAGUACUGAAGGAACUAAAAAAAAUAGUGUUUAGGGAUAUAAAAUAUGUCAAAAAUGAAAUAGAAACUAUAGAGAAGAACCAAGUAGAAUUAGUAAACUCAUUGUCUGAGAUGAGAGCUGACCUAAAGGCUGUGCAAAGCAGACUAGAAAAUACAGAAGAACAAGUAUGUGAUCUAGAAGACAGGACAACAGGAAGCACCCAAUCAGAACAGCUGAGAGAAAAACAAAUAAAAAACAAUGAAAACAAUAUACAGGACCUAUGGGGUAAUAUAAAGUGUGCCAAUCUAUGCAUAAUAGGAGUUCCAGAAGGGGAAAAAGAACAAAGGGGAUUGAAAAGGUAUGGGAAGGACUCAUGACUGAAAACUUCCCAAACCUAAAGAAGGAAUCAUAUCCAAGCACAGGAGGCUCAGAGGGUCCCAAACAGGAAGAACCCAAACAGACCCACACCAAGGCACAUCCUAAUCAAGAUAGCCAGAGUCAAGGAUAAAGAAAUGAUCCUAAAGGAAGCAAGAGAAAAACAGAGUGAGUUACAAGGGAACCCCCAUAAGGUUUUCAGCUGAUUUCUCUACACUAUUUACAACAGCUAAGACAUGGAAAUGACCUAAAAUGUCCAUGAACAGAUGACUGGAUAAAGAUGUGGGAUAUUUAUAUGAUGGGAUACUAUUCAGCCACAAAAACUGACAACAUAACGCCAUUUGCAGAGACAUGGAUGCUCCUGGAGAAUGUUAUUCUAGGUGGAGCAGAACAGAAAGAGAAAGAGGAAUACCAUAUGAGAUCACUCAUGUGUGGAAUCUUAAAUAUAUGCAAUGUCUUGUGGUAACACAGCAAAAAAAAAAAAAGUGACGAAUGUAUGUACGUUCAUGUAUAAAUGAAAAAUUGUGCUCUACACUGGAAUUUGUCAUAACAUUGUAAAAUGACUAUUACUCAAUAAAAAAUGUUUAAAAAUAAGUAAAAUAAAAUAUAACCUUUAAAAUACUGUAUAA